rnacentral:rRNA from 1 species
AUGGAGCCACAUAUCUUUAGAGCAUUGACACCAUAUCUUAGAAGGGGAAAUUUGAUGAAGGACACAAUAAUAAAGGUGGAGGAGAAGUUAGGAUUUUUCCUUUACAUGUCGUCUCACAACGCGUCUUUUGAAGAUCUACAACUAGAAUACCAACAUAGUGGGUGGACCUUCCAUGAAUACAUCAAGUCUUUCUUCGACAUCAUCCCCACUCUAUCUUCUCGAUUUUUGUAG